CCUACGGGAGGCAGCAGUGAGGAAUAUUGGUCAAUGGGCGCGAGCCUGAAGCAGCCAAGUAGCGUGAAGGAUGACUGCCUUACGGGUGGAAAACUCUGUUUAUAAAGGAAUAAAGUGAGGCACGUGACCCUUUUUGUAUGGACUUUAUGAAUAAGGAUCGCCUAACUCCGUGCCAGCAGCCGCGGUAAUACGGAGGAUCCGAGCGUUAUCCGGAUUUAUUGGGUUUAAAGGGAGCGUAGGUGGAUUGUUAAGUCAGUUGUGAAAGUUUGCGGCUCAACCGUAAAAUUGCAGUUGAAACUGGCAGUCUUGAGUACAGUAGAGGUAGGCGGAAUUCGUGGUGUAGCGGUGAAAUGCUUAGAUAUCACGAAGAACACCGAUUGCGAAGGCAGCUCACUGGACUGCAACUGACACUGAGGCUCGAAAGUGUGGGUAUCAAACAGGAUUAGAUACCCCUGUAGUC
rnacentral:rRNA from 1 species